rnacentral:lncRNA from 1 species
UUUUGAAAAAGUUUCGUGUCCUCUGCAAGCCUCGACGAGCUCAACGUAUUGUUGAAGUUAAUUGGCACCCUCCACUUAUUGGUUGGGUAAAGAUUAAUACAGAUGGUGAUUGGUGUAGCUCUUCUGAUCAUGCGUGCUAUGGAGAAAUCUUUAGAGAUUACAGAGGUACUAUUAUGGGUGUUUUUUGCUCUAAUCUUAAUAUUCCAAGCUAUGUGGCAACGAAAGUUAUAGCAGUUAUUAAGGAUAUUGAGUUGGUCAGGGUGCGGGAUUGGAAACAUAUAUGGUUAGAAGUUGACUCAGCUCUUGUCCUUUCAUUUAUUCAUUCUCCUCACUUAGUACCCUGACAACUUCGAAUUAAGUGGCACAAUUGUUAAUUUGUACCGUAUAUCUUAGAUGCAAUUUCGUUCUUCACACAUUUAUCGAGAAGGAAACCAAUCUGUUGAUGUGCUAGCUAACUUAGGUAUCAAUUCAGACGGUUUGACAUGGUGGGACAUGUCCCCGGAUCUUAUUCGUUUUCAUUGUUGAAGGGAUUAUUUGAGCCUUCAUAAUUUUCGUUUUCGCUAAGGUUCAAUUUCUUAUUGUUUUCAUUGUUGUUCUUUCAUAUGGUUAUUUUGAGAAGUUUAGUUUUAUGUCUUAUCAUUUCUUUUGUGUCUUUUUUUUUUUUUUUGUAAAUAAAAUUCAUUAGAGAAUGAGCCGUUUUGGCUGAUCCUAUGUCCAUAUAAAAAAAAAACGAAAAGAAAAGUUCUAGUAUAGUUUAAACAUAUACACACCCAGAAGAGUUCACAGUAACAUUUGCGAUCGACUGAUCGACAUGCAUUAAUAAUAUAUAUGGGUGCUUAGUUGGUGAUAAUAAUUAGCUAAAUGGCCCCCAUAAAUCAAUAAUUCAGUGAAUGAUAUCAUCCAGAGAAUAGAAGAGUGGCUAGCUAGUGAUCAACAUUGAUCCCACCAUAGAGUUCCACCUGGGCAAAACAAGAUAUUCCAUCUCCCC